UUUAAGCACUUUUAUAUGAAACUGUAUGUUCUCUGUUUCAGCCCCCCCCCAGAUAAACAUCACCAAUAAACUGGUUACUGAGAAUAAGGAGAGCGCCCUGAGUGCCGCCAUUACUGGGUUCUACCCCGUGGACAUUGACAUUAAAUGGCUCAGGGAGGGGGAGAUACUGGCUGGUGGGACUGAGCUCCCCCCCCAGAGAAAUGCAGAUGGUACAUACCGAGUGACCAGCACAGUGACCAUUGUACCCACCGAGGGGAACAGGAACCAGAACUUCUCUAUCCGGGUCCAACAUGAGUCUCUCUCUGCCCCAUUACAGGAGGAUUUCCCUCUGAUCUAUGAAGCCGCCCCCAUGAUGAAUAUCAGCCACGGGCCAUUUUAUGUGAAUGAGGAGCAGACCCUGAUGUGCCGAGUGUGGGGGUAUUACCCAGAAGACAUUGCUGUGAGUUGGUUCCUGAAUGGAUCUCGGGUGGAACCCUCAGAGAUAAAGAGAAUUAACAGUUCUGCUCUGGAGUUGCCCUACCGGUUCCUCCCAACAGCUGAGAGUCAGGGGAUGGAGAUCUCUUGUGUGGUGGAACAUCGGGCCCUGACGGAACCUCUUGUGCAGUCACUGAAGGUAGAACUGACAGAUGCUGAAUGGAGUCUCACUAAACGAAUAGUAGUUGGAAUUAUUAUUAUUAUUUCCCUUGUGGCCGCUCUUUGCUUGGGUUUUGUGGUUCUGAAACUAAAGGGAAGAUGUUGUUCAGACACAGGGAAUUGAAGAGGUAGGUAAAUGUCUCUAUGGGGUCUGAGUUGGGGCCAAUGAAUGUUCUCUGUACAUUAACCCUUCCCAGACUCUGGCUUU